rnacentral:misc_RNA from 1 species
GAUGAAGAACGUAGCGAAAUGCGAUAAGUAAUGUGAAUUGCAGAAUUCAGUGAAUCAUCGAAUCUUUGAACCCACAUUGCGCCCGCCAGUAUUCUGGCGGGCAUGCCUGUUCGAGCGUCAUUUCAACCAUCAAGCCCCAGGCUUGUGUUGGGGACCUGCGGCUGCCGCAGGCCCUGAAAACCAGUGGCGGGCUCGCUGUCACACCGGGCGUAGUAGAUUUUAUCUCGCUCAGGGCGUGCUGCGGGUUCCGGCCGUUAAAAAGCCUUUUUUACCCAAGGUUGACCUCGGAUCAGGUAGGAAGACCCGCUGAACUUAAGCAUAUCAAUAAGCGGAGGA